GGGACGUUAGCAUAACUGGUAAUGCACUAGGUUCUUACCCUAGCAAAUCUCGGUUCGAAGCCGAGGCAUCCCACCA
rnacentral:tRNA from 1 species